rnacentral:rRNA from 1 species
AUGAACGCUGGCGGCGUGCCUAAUACAUGCAAGUCGAGCGAACAGAUGAGGAGCUUGCUCCUCUGACGUUAGCGGCGGACGGGUGAGUAACACGUGGAUAACCUACCUAUAAGACUGGGAUAACUUCGGGAAACCGGAGCUAAUACCGGAUAAUAUAUUGAACCGCAUGGUUCAAUAGUGAAAGACGGUUUUGCUGUCACUUAAAGAUGGAUCCGCGCCGCAUUAGCUAGUUGGUAAGGUAACGGCUUACCAAGGCAACGAUGCGUAGCCGACCUGAGAGGGUGAUCGGCCACACUGGAACUGAGACACGGUCCAGACUCCUACGGGAGGCAGCAGUAGGGAAUCUUCCGCAAUGGGCGAAAGCCUGACGGAGCAACGCCGCGUGAGUGAUGAAGGUCUUCGGAUCGUAAAACUCUGUUAUUAGGGAAGAACAAAUGUGUAAGUAACUAUGCACGUCUUGACGGUACCUAAUCAGAAAGCCACGGCUAACUACGUG